rnacentral:rRNA from 1 species
AUGACGCACACAUGGUUGCUUCAUGUGGACUCGUUCAAGCUAGCUGGGCGGAAGUCAUCAUCCAGAGAAAUGUCAUGCAUACUCAUGGCACGGUGCUCUUCUUCUUCCUUCAUGUAUUAUUGCGCUCGAGCCCCACUGGUCACUCAUUCGUCCUCCCCUUUUCCUUCGCACGUACGUCUCCUUCCCCCCUCUUCCUUUACAGGCACGUAUUCUCCUCCCCUCUUCUGCUUGUUCCCCUUCCUCCUCCGGCUGCAUCCUCGCGACGCAGCAGUUCGCCCUUCUCCCUCGUUAGCCGCCGCUGGGUCUUCCCACUGGAGAUGGAGGAGUAGGGGGUUCUGCCAGAUCCGAGGCGUGUGGACGUGGCGGCGAGCGUCUCCAACAGCGGCGGCGACCUGCAGACAAAGGGCGGCGGGGAGCGGCGCCUCCACCUCUCUCCUCCUCAUCUCCUUGCGCGCAGUGCUUUGGGGUUUCUGUUGGGACAAGGAGAGGAUCUGUGAUGCGCACAUCACUAGGUUGCACCACUACCCAAGCGACGGCUUCGCAGAUGAGCUGCUGGAGAUCGCCAAGGCCACCUGGGGCAAAGAAACAGUGAGGUUCCAUCCUUCCUUCUUCAAAAUUCAUCUCAUGUUUUACCUUCUUGAUUUCUCCAACAUCACUUGUGUGGAUGCCCAUAGAAUUUUCAGUCCAGUUGUUUUUCGACUUAGCAGAAUUAAUAUGUUGAUGGAAGGGGAAGCCAUCAAUUUCGGGGAAAAUGCCCACAGGGACAACACCAUUAGGCAUGAUAACUUAAUCAAUUUGUUGGACAAUGAACAUGUUUUAAGAAGAAAAGUGGAUAUUAAGCUUAAGGAUGGCGAUUAUAUGUCUAUUUCUAUACUGUCACGCAGGCUUUCUUUGACCUGGAGAAUGGCAACCAGGAGCUCAAGAGUGACAAGGACGUCUAUAUCAACACUUCAAUGGGCCGACGGCGUGCGGUGGGCUGAAUGGAAUGGAAAGUACAGAGAUGAUAUUCGAAGAUUCAUCAAGAACAGUUCAUUGUUGGAAGAAGUAGCUGGUGCUGAAAGGAUCUCCAGGAGCCGAUGCAUCUCUUCAUAUUUUUGUGUACUACAAGUAGUUGGGGGCCUGCUAAAUCUCAGAGAAGGCUCUAUCUGCAUCAGGGAAGGCUCUAUCUCAGAGAAGGCUCUAUCUAGCAGCUGCUGGAAUCCUUGUUCUCUAUCUUCCGUUUUUACAUCUAUAUUUUCAUAUUUGACACCUCAAAUUUCAAAUAACUAUAAUUUGGUAUUUGACCUGCACGGAUUUUAUUGA